CUUCCUAAGGUUUGCUUCUAUAGGAUACCUGAUACUGGUUCUGAUGCCAAAUGUAUUUAUAUGUGGGUAUCAGUCUCACUGUCUCUCUCGGCUAGACCUCAGCAAAUCUGUCCCAGGGACAGUGUUUACCCUGGUCUGUCAGCUUUUAAAGUGAUUGGGUUUCUAUCUAGUGCCCUCCGAAACGGACCAUGAUGCUGAAAGAGAAAAGACGGUCUUUUAAACCUUUCGUUCCUCUUAUUGGUUUAGAAAAUUCGACUGACAAGAGCAGGGGCCAAAGGAGCCCGGAGCGGCACCAAAAAUGCGAACCGUGUAUUUCGCGAUCUUUUGGGCGGAGAUGUGGUCCAUCAGGUUACAGCCAAUGCAUCCCUGCGAGUUCUCGCUAAACCAAGAGACCUUAUGGAUGUAGCCGCUGCAGUAGAAAAGGUUACAUCCAGCAGGAUGUCUUGUCUGUCUCCUGAAAAACUGGCAGUCAAGUGCAGACCCCAGGAACAGAAUCUGGGAGUCUGGAUGGAGUGGAGGGUUAGAAGAAGCAAACCUGUAUUCGUAUUAAAAUUGUUCACUAUAAUUCAUAGAAGGCGUUCUUUGCGAGGCAGGCUCUUCUAGAGUCCUCAAGCAUGUGCAGUCUCCCAUCGCAUCCUUAGCUCUGCGCCGGCAACCUCUUACCUGCAGCAUGAAGACUGAGAAGCAGGCAGAACGCAGGGAAACCGACUAGUCUCCGCAUAGUGUUUGCAUCGAGAGGUAGAGGAGAAACUCCACCACGACCCCACUUCAGGCAAAGUGCUACUGGAAAGAGCCCCCGUCGAGGGUCCUCUGGUCUCUGGGAUUCAUUCGCAGGUCCUCGGCUGGGGCUGGCCGAGCGGUGUGUGGCGCGGACAGAAGGAAGCACGAGCUUCGCCUCCUUGGGAGAGGAGGCGAGGGCGGGGAGGAGGAGGGGUGGGAGAGUGGGGCGGCGCAGGGCGGGGGCCGCGGCGCUCGGAGCCGCUACUGCUCGGCCUGCUGGAAGCUCCGCAGCCGCGGCAGGGAAGGCGGGGUGGACUCCCGCCCCAGCCCUAGAGCCCGGGGCCAGCGCAU
rnacentral:lncRNA from 9 species